rnacentral:rRNA from 1 species
GACGAACGCUGGCGGCGUGCUUAACACAUGCAAGUCGAACGGUAAGGCCCUUCGGGGUACACGAGUGGCGAACGGGUGAGUAACACGUGGGUGAUCUGCCCUGCACCUUGGGAUAAGCCUGGGAAACUGGGUCUAAUACCGGAUAGGACCACGGCCUGCAUGGGUUGUGGUGGAAAGCUUUUGCGGUGUGGGAUGGGCCCGCGGCCUAUCAGCUUGUUGGUGGGGUGAUGGCCUACCAAGGCGACGACGGGUAGCCGGCCUGAGAGGGUGUCCGGCCACACUGGGACUGAGAUACGGCCCAGACUCCUACGGGAGGCAGCAGUGGGGAAUAUUGCACAAUGGGCGCAAGCCUGAUGCAGCGACGCCGCGUGGGGGAUGACGGCCUUCGGGUUGUAAACCUCUUUCAGCACCGACGAAGCGCAAGUGACGGUAGGUGCAGAAGAAGGACCGGCCAACUACGUGCCAGCCGCCGCUGUAA